rnacentral:lncRNA from 1 species
CACACACACAUGCACGCACAAAAUAUAUAAAUGUAUUUCCAUAAACACAAAACAACCGGAGACAGCGAAUCAAACUGUCGUAGAAUGAAAUGCCGCUGAAAGAAAUAAAGGCCGACAUAAAGUUAUCUCGAGGGCUAAGCAAUUUGCUGGCAUUUUAGUACUCUUCAAGAGUGAAGCUCUGUCCGUCUGAUACUCCGUGGUUCUUUGUCAGAGCGAUGAAUAUGUUCUCUGUUCAUCAAAUUUAGAAAGGAGGAUGGUAAGAAUGAAGAUCUCGGGAGUUAUAUAUGGUGAAUAUAUGGUGGAUCACUGCAUGCAUCGUCUUAGAAGGAAGUAACACCAGCUUCUUAAAGAUGAAGUGAUCCCGUCGUGAUAACUGGUCUAGGAUCAGUGUGGAGGUGCUACACCAAAUCAAACCAGACAUUAUCCACAUGAUCCCAAACCUUAUUCGCCUUCCAGGAUGGGAGGAGUUGCAUGUUCCGGUUCAGGGUAGAAGGCUUUUAAGCCACCUAUGUGGGGAGACUGGCCACUUGAAAGCUUUCUGCAGCGAACAACAACAAAAGCGGCACCAACCCCAGCAUAAAACGGUAGCAUGAAGAACAGGAAUAGUAAAAUUAGCAACUGCUGGAACAACACCAACAACAGUAGGAACAGCAAAACUAGCAGCAGAUGCACCACCACCACCACCACCACCUUCAACAGCCGAAAGAAAAACAACGGAUACAAAAACAUCCAAGGGCUCUGCCAACGAACUCUUCCUCUUUCUCUGUCUCGUAUAAACACAAACAUACACAUAGACUUUCACACAAAUACAAAUACACUCUCACCCAUAUCCGAAACUGUUUCCACAGAUACUGAAACCUCUGCAUUACGAAGUAAUAAUGAGGGGGAAGCUCCUCAUCAAAAAGAUAAAAGCCAAAAUAAAGCAAAAACUCACACCAACACACACUAAAAAAACAUAUAAAACACACCCAAAACAAUCACAGAUACAUCUACAGAACACCAACCUCUCCAGCACCACAGUCGUCAAUACAUUCAUCGCUACCACAACUAGCGCCGCUAACACAACCGCAGCCACAACAAACUACAAAAAAACAAAAACAAAAACACGCUCAACAGCAACAACCAGCCAUACAGACACAAAACAUCGCGAUAAUGAGGAGAGCCAACAUAGAAUUGACGGCCCUCAUAGCACGAAGUAAGGACAUUGUGAGAGAGAAUGUGAUCUUCGGCACGAACAUCUUUCAAGCGUCAGAAACACUGAUGAUGGUGCGUAUGCUACUGGAGACUUAUAAAAAAAUUAGGAAUUUUCCUUCGCGAAUAGACUUUUAAGGGUGUUCCCAAAAGAAUUCCAACCAGAUUUGUAGGUCAAACCACUUGACCUUCAACGGACAUUUGCUGAAUUCCAACAGUGAAUUUUAUCUGUUCCAGGUAUCAAAUUAGUUUAUGGAAGUUCUUAAUUCCCCACGGUGAAAUAAUUUAUCGUAAGGCAGUUCAGUCAUUAGUCUUCAGAUUUUGGAAUGGAGUGAUUCCGGCCAGAAAGAUUACCCGAAGAUCAUCUCCAACAAAUAGGAAACCAGGAGUAACGACUCUACAAUGUUUACAGUAUGCUGCAUCGGACUGACCUUGGGACUGGCAGACAGACCUAUCCAAGUGAUGAUUAAAAUCUUCAAAUAACAUCAUCUCUUCGUUUCUGAUCACCUUAUGUAAAGAAUAGCACAACCAAGAUAUACAUAUAACCAGAGUUGGAGUAGAAACACUGUAAAUCAACAAGGUUUAUACAUGACAAUGUUUCGGGGAAACUUUUGAGUGAUGCGAAUAUCGACAGUCUUUUUGUGCUUGACACCGUUUCAUCACGUCGCAUUUUGAAAGCUAUGCUUCUGCAAUCCGAAGAUUAAAACCCAGCUAAAAAUAUCUAUUGAACGAAGGAGGCGUUGAACCCUUCCGACCUCCAAAACGUGAUUAAAACAUUGCAUCUCAUACCAGCGGAGGUCAUUACAUAUGUGAGUGGCUGCUUCCAAAUAUGUUAUCAAGAUAAUACCUUCUUUAAUUGGGCUGACAUUGCUGCUAAACAAUAUCCAGCGCCACCCGUAUGAUGGACUGUCCGGGGGCAAAUGGAAAAACAAAUAAAUUAACAAAUGUUUCUAGCCACUAAAUGAAAGAACAACACUCCUAGCGUUGUUUUCUGGACAAAUAAAAAAAAAACAAAAAAAAAAACAACGGCUGUUGUAAAGAUCAGCUUCUUAACGAAUGUGAACCAGUGAAAACAUUUCUUGACAAGUUUUUUGAAACUUACAACUUAUUUAUCCAAAUUAUUAGUUUACAAAUGUACUCAUAAGUGAUAGUUAGAAGAAGCUGGAUUUUACAGCUUUUCCAUACAGAAGGAGAGAGAAGAGAGAGUUAAUAUGAUACAUGCUCUGAAAAUCCAGUCUGUAAUUAAAACAACGCAACGAUAUAGAUUCUUCUUGUUAAUAUCUAAAUUCUAAAUAAUGGAAC